UCGACGGUUUUCCGGAAUUCUGGGCGUAAAGCGUGCGCAGGCGGUUUUGUAAGACAGGUGUGAAAUCCCCGCUCUUAACCUGGGAACUGCAUUUGUGACUGCAAGGCUGGACUGCGGCAGAGGGGGAUGGAAUUCCGCGUGUAGCAGUGAAAUGCGUAGAUAUGCGGAGGAACACCGAUGGCGAACGCAAUCCCCUGGGCCUGCACUGACGCUCAUGCACCAAAGCGUGGGGAGCAAACAGGAUUAGAUACCCUGGUAGUCCACGCCCUAAACGAUGUCAACUGGUUGUUGGUCCUUCACUGGAUCAGUAACGAAGCUAACGC
rnacentral:rRNA from 1 species